rnacentral:rRNA from 1 species
GCGUAGGUGGUUUGUUAAGGUGGGGGUGAAAUCCCCGGGCUCAACCUGGGAACUGCCUCCAAAACUGGCUGACUAGAGUACGGUAGAGGGUGGUGGAAUUUCCUGUGUAGCGGUGAAAUGCGUAGAUAUAGGAAGGAACACCAGUGGCGAAGGCGACCACCUGGACUGAUACUGACACUGAGGUGCGAAAGCGUGGGGAGCAAACAGG